rnacentral:tmRNA from 1 species
GGGGGUGACAGGUUUCGACGUCGGUCGUCGAAGCAGGGGAAGCGGGUCGAGGAUGCACGGUCAUCUCGUCAACGCCCCGUGCAAACCAAUAGGUGCCGAUUCCAAGCGCACCGACUUCGCCCUCGCUGCCUGAGCGAGUGCGAGUCCGUCAGCCCGGGUGCGCCUCCGCCCCGGGUCCUGGCGUCGACUAGGAGGCUCACCUCCCACCGAGGUCGCGUAGGUGGGAGGGACACGCAACGCGGCUGGGCCUGGCCACGACUUGCCUGCGUGAUCGUGGGGGCCGAGUAGACCAGUAGCAGGCUGCACCCGGAGAAGCCCUGUUCCCACGCCGACGGACGCGGGUUCGAUUCCCGCCACCUCCACCC